rnacentral:rRNA from 1 species
AACGAACGCUGGCGGCAGGCUUAACACAUGCAAGUCGAGCGCCCCGCAAGGGGAGCGGCAGACGGGUGAGUAACGCGUGGGAAUCUACCCAUCUCUACGGAAUAACGCAUGGAAACGUGUGCUAAUACCGUAUACGUCCUUCGGGAGAAAGAUUUAUCGGAGAUGGAUGAGCCCGCGUUGGAUUAGCUAGUUGGUGGGGUAAAGGCCUACCAAGGCGACGAUCCAUAGCUGGUCUGGGAGGAUGAUCAGCCACACUGGGACUGAGACACGGCCCAGACUCCUACGGGAGGCAGCAGUGGGAAUAUUGGACAAUGGGCGCAAGCCUGAUCCAGCCAUGCCGCGUGAGUGAUGAAGGCCCUAGGGUUGUAAAGCUCUUUCACCGGUGAAGAUAAUGACGGUAACCGGAGAAGAAGCCCCGGCUAACUUCGUGCCAGCCGCCGCGGUAACAC